rnacentral:lncRNA from 1 species
AUCAUGGAGGGAAUAACAAUCAUAAUUCGAGGUCAAAAAUGGAAUGUUAAAAAAUAUAGCGCACCAAGAUUCAUCCAAAUAAACGAAGCAGAAUCCCGUCAAAAACUGACGUCUUCCGCCCAUGCUUUCAGAAAACGCGGCACGCCGUUGGUGCUGCCACCCCUACACCUACGUGUCCAAACACCCCCAUCUUCCUUUAUCUCAGUCGUCUCGUCUAUAUAUAAAUUAUAAAAUUAAGUUUUUAGUUUCUCAGUAACCAAAAUUACAGCUAUAAUCAUGGCGAAAACUUCAUUACCAGUAUUUCUGACACUCACCUUUGUUUCUGCCUUUGUAAUUGGGUAUUCCGCCGCUCCUGUUAAGGGUUUUGGAGGUGGUUCAUUUGGAGGAAGAACGAAGGUCGAAGAUGUGGAAAGGGACAAAGAGGUUCAGGAAAUGGGGGAAUACGCGGUGGAUGAGUUCAACCGACAGCAGCAC